GCCAGAGUUAAAUGCACGAAUGAAAGAGCAACAAUAUAUCGCAAUUCAACUUGUUCAAUACCACAUACAUCUGUUAUACUGUGGCCAUAUAUAUACAUUCCAAAUUCAAUGCAACAACAUAUCAUAACGAUUCAACUUUCUUCUGCACGAAAUAAUACUCAAUUGCCGUACUAUCAAUCUGGCCAAGCAGGCUGCUUAUUGAUCUAGCUCUCACCAUGAGGUCCAAUUUUUGUCAUCUUCUUUGCAGACAUCACUGCUUUCUUCUCAUCAUCGUUAUCAAUUUUCUCUAAUCAUUUCGAGUCCACAUCUAAGGAACUCAAGAUAGAUGAUAUUUGUCGAGUUGAAGAUGGGCUCAAGAUUUCAUUCUUGGACGCAACAAAAGCUUCUACUUGCUUCGCACUCGGAGAGAGUACGCGAACAGUGCUCGUCGUGCUUUUAAGCUUCCUUUUAUCCAACUGAUGAUCACAUAAUGAAUAGCCGACGAGGGUUGUUUGGCAGCAUCUCCAUCCUCUCCCACUUACCUAGAUAAGAAGAAGAAGAAGAAGAAGAAGAUGGCUGCACAAACUUGAUAUCUUCUUGUUGAAAUAUAAUUUUGGCAUUCCUGAAAAUAAAUAUAAAAUCAAAUUGAAAUUAACAUAGGGAGCAGAGCAGCAUACAUGCAUCCUCACAGGCAGCAUUCUUGUAUUGCCAUUAAAGAAGGAAAUUGUAAAAUUUAAAACUAGAGGCAUCUAUAAAAGCAAACAGACGUGAGUUUCUCUCUCCUUAGAAUUGAUGAAACAAGAUUAGAGUUGUUUUCUUCCCCCCCCCCCCCCCCACACCUGAUAUCGUUUAUUGAGAAUGCAUAGGGUGGCUUCUUGGUGCUACUUUUAAUUACGCAAUUUAAUUGCCAGAUUGAAAAGCCAGUGCUGUUUCAACAAAUUU
rnacentral:lncRNA from 1 species